rnacentral:rRNA from 1 species
ACUCUGUUGUUGGAGAAGAACGUGCGUGAGAGUAACUGUUCACGUAUUGACGGUAUCUGACCAGAAAGCCACGGCUAACUACGUGCCAGCAGCCGCGGUAAUACGUAGGUGGCAAGCGUUGUCCGGAUUUAUUGGGCGUAAAGGGAACGCAGGCGGUCUUUUAAGUCUGAUGUGAAAGCCUUCGGCUUAACCGAAGUAGUGCAUUGGAAACUGGAAGACUUGAGUGCAGAAGAGGAGAGUGGAACUCCAUGUGUAGCGGUG